rnacentral:tRNA from 1 species
GGGGUUAUAGCUCAGUGGUAGAGUGCUUGCCUCAAACACAAGGCACUGGGUUCGCGUUUCACCACCACAUGAAAAUAAAUAAAGAUAUUGUAUCCAUCUACAACUAAAAUAAAAUACUAAAAAAAAAGAAGAAGAAAAGAAAUAAGGGGGCCAGGCAGUGGUUCAUGCCUAUAAUCCCA